CCUGUUUAGUCGGGGUGCAUAUAUUGCUGAGAUUAUACCCGUGAACCUGAUUCAGUUAAUACUGACGUAGGGAACUAAAAUGGCUUUGCU
rnacentral:ncRNA from 1 species